AAAUGUAUAUAUAUUUAAAUCUUCCUGCAAAAACUGCCCUUGGUCAUUGGCCCCAUCGUAUUCUACCCAAGCUAUUGUACCUAAGGUCCAG